GCAAAAGGUUAAUGAAGUAAUUAACAAAUUGAAUAUUUGGACUUGCCAUGUGUUGUCUACUCAUUCGUCAACUUUUACCUUUUGUCUUUCUGCUCCCGGUUUUCCCUCUAUCUCUCUUCAUAUGGUAUUCUCUCUUUUCUGUUUUCUCCACAAACCCUAGCGCAGCCGCAAACCCUAGCGAUGUCUUCGACCACUCCAAUCUCACAAUCUCACGGUCUUUGCCAUUUGGUUUCGAUCAAUUUGACGGCGACCACCGUUUCUCCAUCUUCGGCCGAUUCGUUAAAGAUUUCACAGCAACACUCAAAUCUGUGUGUUUUCUACGAGACUGCAUAGAUUUGACAUAUAUUGUUUCAUUGUCAUGGUUUCAAGAUCCAUAGGUGAUGCAUAUUUGAAGAAAGUGGAAUUCAAUAGGGAGCCUCUGCCACAAAAGUUUAGACUACCUGAAAUCUUUUCAAGUUGAUUCUUAGUAUUGAAUCAUCGGUAUCAAUUCAUAAAAUCCAACCCGAAGAUAAAUUUCGCAUCUUUGUUUCUGAUGGUUUAUGGGAGCAUCUUAGCAACCAAGCAAUUGUCAAUAUAGUUAGCAUUAAUCCACACAAUGAAAUAUCACGGAGAUAUUAGUUACAAGCUUGAUUGUGAAGAGACACUUCCAGUGAAGAUAUUAGUUAUAAGCUAACCCGAAAUUCUAUACCGAAACGGGUCAAUUGUGUUGCAAGAAUAGCCAUAUAUAACAUGUUUACAAAUCAAUAUACAUUCUAAUAAGUUCGGUUGUUGAAAAAUAAGUGAUUAUUUUUAGGGUGAAUCUGAUGAUCUGUUAAUAUUCUGGACAGCUAUUAUACCGUUCUCUUUGGUGUAGCAAGGAGUAUUGGAGUUGGCCCUCAGUUUAUAUGGGACCGGGCUCUUGGAAUGCCACUUGAAAGGCCAAAAAGUGUCACAUUGGAAAAACUCGAGAAAUUGGCCGGUGCAUCAUCAUGAAAUUAAAAGCACCAUUUAUUUGUUGAUUGCUAAAAUACAUUUUGCGGUGAAUAUUUAGAAUAUUUGGGUAUUUUAGGAAAAGGGUGGAUUAUCACCCUCACAGCUAUUCUCAAAGUGAAUGCAUACCAGUAAGUUACUUACAAAUCAUGAUACCUUGCUUCUUCAAGAUUAACGAAGUUUUUUUCACUU